AUCAGGUCCGACCGUAUAAUAUAUUUGCGGACAAAAACAUGCUAAAAUCCAUAGCCAUUGUAUUGUCACACUUGGCACGGACAGAUGAGAUUGAAAUGCAACUCACGUGUGAAAAUUUGGCCCAAAUCUCCCUUCCUGCCUCGGUCGGCCGCUGCCAAAAUUCCCCCAAAUCCAACCCUACCAAAAUUUCCUCUUCUCCUCCCAAUCUACCUUCCUCUUCUACUCUUCUACCAAAGUUCUUGACUCUGCAUUUAUCAACCCAAAAUCCAUAAUGGACGCCGGCAAUGAAGGUGAUGAUGGCGACGACGAGAAUGGGCACAGGCGAUCUUCCCGAAAAAUGACUUCAUUUGGGUUCGACGCAAGACAAACUUGAAGAUCGCCCAUGAAUAUAAACCCAAUUGCUAGAAACUAGAAUAUAGCGUUAGAAUAAAGCUACCAAGAAACCCAAAAAAUAAAUGCCAAAUAAUACAGAGAAAUUGAGAUGGGGAAGAAGAAAGGUUAUGGCUUUAGGAAUGGAAUUGGGGGAAAAUCCAUGUAUAGUAUGAGAAAAUAAGUUUCUGGUCUCAGAAUUUUUUUUUUUCCCUUCAUUUUCUCACGCAAAAACCCACCAAGGCUUGGGGCUUGCUGGAACGGUGGGAAUCGUGAUCUUGAAGCUUGUUGAAGCAGGGUAUUUGGAAGCCCAAAUGGUGGAUGGUUCUUUUUUGGAAGGGAAAUUAUGAAUGUAAUCUACACCUUUGAUAUUAAUCGGAAGGCCAGGAUUAAAAGUA